AGCAGCCGCGGUAAUUCCAGCUCCAAUAGCGUAUAUUAAAGUUGUUGCAGUUAAAAAGCUCGUAGUUGAAUUUCGGGAUUGACACAUCGGUCGUGCCUUAAGGGGUAUGAACUGGUGUAGUCAAUUUCUCACCUUCUGGAGAACCACGAUGCCCUUAAUUGGGUGUCGCGGGGAACCAGGACCUUUACUUUGAAAAAAUUAGAGUGUUUAAAGCAGGCAUUUUGCUUGAAUACAUUGGCAUGGAAUAAUAAAAUAGGACGUGCGGUUCUAUUUUGUUGGUUUCUAGGACCGCCGUAAUGAUUAAUAGGGAUGGUUGGGGGCAUUGGCAUUCAAUUGUCAGAGGUGAAAUUCUUGGAUUUAUUGAAGACUAACUACUGCGAAAGCAUUUGCCAAGGAUGUUUUC
rnacentral:rRNA from 1 species